AUUUUCCAUCAAUCCAGGAUGCCAGGAAGAAAAUGUCCAAAGUUGGAAAAGUAAUUCUCCCCAACCUUCAAGAAAAAAGAUUUUACGAUAAAAAGUACCAAGUAUUUCUGAAGUUAUAUGAACACCAGCUGGAAUAUUAGGCUAUUAUGAAAGGAAUCUAAUGAGACUGCUCCCCUCUCCACAUUGCCCAGAAUGCCAGACAGAAAGGCUGCUAAACAGAACUGAGUGUAUCAAAUAAAGGAUUAAAG